rnacentral:rRNA from 1 species
UACGGAGGGUGCGAGCGUUGUUCGGAAUUACUGGGCGUAAAGGGCGCGUAGGCGGCGCUGUAAGUCGGAUGUGAAAGUCCACGGCUUAACUGUGGAAGUGCAUCCGAUACUGCAGUGCUUGAGUAUCGGAGGGGAAAGUGGAAUUCCCGGUGUAGAGGUGAAAUUCGUAGAUAUCGGGAGGAAUACCGGUGGCGAAGGCGACUUUCUGGACGAAUACUGACGCUGAUGCGCGAAAGCGUGGGGAGCAAAC